CCAACCAGUGUGUGGUAGCUCGAAGAAAUCCAGCCAACCACCUUUAUGAAAAUACCCCGCACCCGUAAUCAAUCAUCCCAGAAACUUUCUUCAAAUUGUGACCAUCACAUACUUUCAAAAGUAAAAAAGUUUUACAAGAAGAAUCACUCUGUUAUUCCGGCACCGUCAACCAUCGAAAAUGAAAUGAAAAACACAAUAACCAGUGUUCUGAACCCAGUUGUUUCACCAAAGGAAUUUCACAAAUUCUUUCUGAAGAAGCACAAAAUAUUUUGAGUUUGAUGGGUAUCUUUUUCAUGUAAACUUAUGGAUCCAAUUUAUGAGAGAAAAUUGAUUGUUUGGAAAGAUAUGUGGGAAAGUUCACUUCUUGAAGAGGACCCAGAUCUGAAGAACUUUGACCGGAUUCUAGCCGUUUAUUCAACUCCGGCUGACUAUGGUCUUCUUUAAUCGAAGAAGAAGAAGACUAAUUAAUGGGUUCUAGUGUAAUCCAAUCGGGUCGGGCGAAUUUUUAAAAUGGGUUCAUAUUUUCUUAGUUGGCAAAUUAUUAUGGGGUCCCAGGUGCCAUGUUGGACAUCUGUUAGGGUUAGGGAAAUUUUAUUUACUAAGUCAACGGUAGGUACAAUUUUAGACGGAAAGUAGAAACGGGUAUAAACGUGGCUAAUUAUCCAAAGUAGAGGGACAAUUUUAGCCUUUUUCCCUUUAAAAAGUGGAAAAUUAAUUUUUUUUUUUGGAUCAAUUCACACACGCGACAGAUGUGAAAAAUGCACUUUUUUGCAGCCUAUUGUGUUCAAUAAACACAAUUUUGUUAUGAUUGGAGUGUUCAAUAGGUACAGAUCCUAGUUGAAGUGUCUAAAUGAAAAUUAGAGCCAACUUUAAGGGGCUACCUAUGUAUUUGGUCUUUCCUCUUCUUAAAUGCCAUCACUACAUGCUUUACUUUGGA